CCUGUGCAGAUCGACUCCCAGAUUGUCCGAACUACAAACACUACUGUACACUCAGUUCCUCUACCAAAAUCUACUGCCCCCAUACCUGCAAUGCCUGUUCAACGGGAGGACAAGUCGCAACGUGCGUCGACAAGUUCUCAACGAAAUUAUGUUUGAGAUACAAAGCGGCGAAUUACUGUAACAACCCUUAUAUAAAGCCCAAAUGCCAAAAGACAUGUAAAUUCUGCUAAAUUGGAAAGUAAGUAUUAAGAAUAGUAAAUGAUGGUAUAAUUAGUGAAAUUAUGAUGCAUGUCAGUCUUGCAUGAGGUUGGUAUUGGAGGUAAAGAUGUAAUAGAGACUUUGCACCAUUAUGUGAUGGAAGCCAUGACAGGAGGCAGGAAUAAUGGAAUCUGGUCAAGUCUGAUAUGCAUGAGAAAGAAAUCAGUCUCCAAGUGGCAACAGACUCUAUUAUUGUGGCCCCUGUCAUGGCUGGCAUCACGUUAUGAUGCAAAGCCUCUAUAGACCAUAACAUAGAUAAUGAUGUCAGGUAUGAUGUUGAUGGCAUUUUUAAUGUAAUUCUGAUGAUGGAUG